AAUCAAUUCAUGGUACCCAACAAAGCUUCAACCUCAAAGCUUCACCUACAAAGCUUCAACACCAAAGCUUAAUCUACAAAGCUUUAAAAUAUAUAUUUUUUUUUCUUUUCUAAAUUCGAAAAUUCAAAAAUUCGAAAAUUCGAAAAAAGAAUUGCCUAGGCCUCCUCUUCUUUGGGCCUAACAACUUUCAUAACAAAUACAUAUGAAGAAAGAUUUUUGGGCUACCACUUAGAAAGGAAAUGCCUCAUUCGUCAACUCCCUCGACCGGAGACUUGGGGAACUCCUACCAUAUGCUACUACAUCUUGAUACUCGGAAGUCUCACGACCACUCAGUGACUUGGAUUUUUCAAGUCUCCAAACGAAGAAGUUUUCCUCACUCAGGAAAUUAAGGGAGCACUACCUCAACCUACAUGCUUCACUCACAAAGCUUCAACAAACAAGCUUCAACAAAAGGAAAAAUUCAAAGCACUUAGUGAAGAAGGCCUUGGUGUAUUUAACACAAUACGUUGAAAUGAAGCAAAGCUUGUUUAUUGAUAUCUCCGAUAAGUUACAAAUAUGUACAUAUACAUGAAUCAAAAUAAACAAACAAGAGGGAGCCUUCACAAAGGUUGUUCAGAAGAAGUCUCAGCAGUCGGCAGAGCCCCAGAAAGAGGAGGCACCAGAGAGUGAUUAUUCGGAGCCUCAGUACUAGGCAGAACCCCAGAAUGAGGAGGCACCGAAGGUUGAUCAUUUGGAGCUUCAUUACGCGGUACAGCCCCAGAAGAUGAAGGCAAUAAAUACCUCUGGAACAAACCCACAAACCUCUGAUGAUCAAGUAAAAUCUGACCAUCAAAUUCCUGCAGCUAGUCGAGCUUCCUCUUCAUGUUUGUAGCAUAGUCAUGUGCGAGCCUGUGCAACUGUUUAUUCUCAUGCUUGACCCCUCUGAUCUCCUAUUUGAGACUUAUCACUUCAGUCGCCAAUGAUUCACCUCGGCGGGUUCGAGCAAAUAGGCGUUGGGCUAUAUUAGACACAGAACCUGCACACUGAACACUGAGAGCCAGAGAAUCCUUAACAUCCACCUCAUCAGACUGUUUGGAAAGUAGUCUGUUAUCUUUAGGAGUGAGAAGGUUCCAGGCCACCACUGCAGUGGUUAUAUCAUUCUUCAUCACAGAGUCCUCAACGGUAAGAGGACUAGUAGGGGAUAAGAAAGAUGGGCGCCAUAUGUUGUCUUGAGAAGGCAUGGUUGCCUCUUCACCAAAGUUCAAGUCAAAAAGACGAUCGGAUGGGCUAGACAUUCUCAUAAAUGAAGGAGAAAUGAGGUGCAAUAAAUCUCUGAAGUAAGGGGAAAAUUCCUACAAGCAAUAACUCUCUGAAUGUACUUCUUGCACAUGAUUAGUGCCCUUAUAAAAGAAAGGGCAACAUGGCCAUUGGUUCAAAAAUCGAAGAGGUACCACUCUUCGGAUUCCGAAGAGGCACCACUUUUCACACGCAACAUCAGCGCAUCGGGUACCACAGAUAACUUUACCAAAGAUCUCUGACAAAGUUUAGACACAUAAAUUUUGAAGGUCCAGCUACCCUACUAUUACCCACAAGGGUAAAGGAACAACAUCACUACUUGAUAACUAAAAAGUCCCAAUGUGUGUCAACCUCCGUGCCUCAUGGCAAGGCAGACUGGCAAAAAUGCCCAACCUUUACUCACAUUCGAGAAAACACUCCCAACAUGAUUGCUUUCUCAAAAAUCGAAGAGGCACCGCUCUCCGAAUCUCAAGAGCCAGACUCCCAACAUGAUUACGUGCUCAAAAAUCAAAGACGCACCGCCCUCCGAAUCUCAAGAGCCAGACUCCAAACAGGAUUACUUUCUCAAAAAUCGAAGAAACACUGCUAUUCAAAUCUCAAGAGUCAGACUCCCAACAUGAAUGAUUUCUCAAAAAUCGAAGAGGCACCGCUCUCCGAAUCUCGAGAGCCAAACUCCCAACAGGAUUACAUGCUAAAA
rnacentral:lncRNA from 1 species